GACGUAGGGGGCGAGCGUUGUCCGGAUUUAUUGGGCGUAAAGAGCGCGUAGGCGGCCCGGAAAGUCGGAUGUGAAAACCCGGGGCUCAACCCCGGGCCUGCAUCCGAUACUCCCGGGCUGGAGGCAGGUAGGGGAGAUCGGAAUUCCUGGUGUAGCGGUGAAAUGCGUAGAUAUACGGAGGAACACCAGCGGCGAAGGCGGGUAGCUGGGCCAACACUGACGCUGAUGCGCGAAAGCUAGGGUAGCAAACGGG
rnacentral:rRNA from 1 species